GCAUUUGUAGUCUUAGCUACUGAGGAGGCCAAGGUGGGAGGCUUACCAUGAGACCAGGAGUUCAAGCCCAGCAUGGGAAACAUAUUCAAUUCUGCCAUUUUGGUUAUUGGCCAUUAUUCUAUCGUGGUAUUCGUAUUUUUCUUCAUGUUUCUUAAAACACUUUUUAUAUAAUAAAAGUAUUAAGCCUUUAUCUGUCUCUAUGUUGCAGAAAUAUUUUCCAUUUGCUGUUACUGUUUGUAUUUGUAGUUCUCAAUAACUUCAUUUUUGCCUCACAAAAGUUUUUACUUUUUGUAAAGUUGAAUAUGUUGGUCCUUUCCCGAAGAUUAUAAGACCUCUCUCACUACUGAUUUUUAGGACAUUUUGAGGGGUUUUGUUGGCAAAGACAUCCAGCACCCCUUCAGGCCCAGCUUGCCCUGGCUUGUCUUGACUCCUGGGAUUUUCUUCACUGAUUAGUCCUCCUUUUUAAUCCCAGGUGCCUUGCAUUAGAAACUCCCCAAAGUUCCUUGUACAUUGAUGGGCCUAACCUCUGAUUUCCAGGGUGUCACAGACUUUUCCCCCUUAUUUUUAUAUGUCUUCUGUCAUUGCCAUGGAAUUUGGGGUGAGGUUUGGGGCUUACCAUGGGCUCAAUUUGCCAUCUGGCAAACAGAAGCCAGUGCUCAUUAAAUAAUAGAUACUAGAAAAUCCAUUGAUGAGGAAAAUAAACCCAUAUGGGAGUGGUAGACUUUAUAUGUUCCAAAGGAAUUAAAUACAUUCAUCUCCUUCUAUUUGUAGUUUUGGAAUGCUUAGUAAGGCCUUAUAAAUCUAGACUCUUCUUUAAAAACAAAACAUAAACUUAAAAAGCAAACACUGAAGAAUUCUGAUUACAGCAAUAUUACAGGUUUUCAGUUAGGAAAUAUGAGCUCCCAGUUAGAACUUAAAAUAAUAGUUUGUUUUGCACAAAGUAUGCUAGCUCCCUGUCCACCCCCUCACUUCUACUAAAAGUAGUUAACUGCCUAGCAGAAUGCUGGUGUCACCUGCUUUCAAUAUGAACUAACUGAACCACUCUGCAGUUCAUAGUCGAAGGGUUUAUAGCCUAAGCUAAGCAAGUUCUGCAUUUACUUUAAUUGCAGCUUUGAUUAUGUCAUACUCUGCUUCACUCUUUAAUGGCCUCCUCUGCUCUUAGGCUAAAGUACGAGUACGAGAACAUGACCUGCAAGAGCCUUAAUGAGGGGGUUCCUGCUUGUGCUUUUGGCUUUCAAAGCUCCCAACCCAAUGACCUUUCAGUUCUUGACUCCUUCUGCCUCAAAACCUUUGAGCAUGUGGUUCCCUAUACUUGGGGUAGCUUUCUGCUCAGUGGUGGGCUUCAUGUAGAUAACUCCUAAGCAUACUUUGCUUCUUAGGGAUCUUUCUCUGGAAACUCCUUCAGGGAAACCUUGCCAGAUGCCUCCAGGCUACAUUAGAUUGCUCAUUACUCAGUCACUGAUGUGGUUUGGCUGUGCCCCAC
rnacentral:lncRNA from 1 species